GAUGAACGCUGGCGGCGUGCCUAAUACACGCAAGUCGAGCGAACGGACGAGAAGCUUGCUUCUCUGAUGUUAGCGGCGGACGGGUGAGUAACACGUGGAUAACCUACCUAUAAGACUGGGAUAACUUCGGGAAACCGUAGCUAAUACCGGAUAAUAUUUUGAACCGCAUGGUUCAAAAGUGAAAGACGGUCUUGCUGUCACUUAUAGAUGGAUCCGCGCUGCAUUAGCUAGUUGGUAAGGUAACGGCUUACCAAGGCAACGAUGCAUAGCCGACCUGAGAGGGUGAUCGGCCACACUGGAACUGAGACACGGUCCAGACUCCUACGGGAGGCAGCAGUAGGGAAUCUUCCGCAAUGGGCGAAAGCCUGACGGAGCAACGCCGCGUGAGUGAUGAAGGUCUUCGGAUCGUAAAACUCUGUUAUUAGGGAAGAACAUAUGUGUAAGUAACUGUGCACAUCUUGACGGUACCUAAUCAGAAAGCCGCGGCUAACUACGUG
rnacentral:rRNA from 1 species